rnacentral:rRNA from 1 species
UUCCUACGGGCGGCUGCAGUAGGGAAUAUUGCACAAUGGAGGAAACUCUGAUGCAGCGACGCCGCGUGAGUGAUGAAGGCCUUCGGGUCGUAAAGCUCUGUCGCAGGGGAAUAACACAAUGAAUGUACCCUGUAAGAAAGGAUCGGCUAACUUCGUGCCAGCAGCCGCGGUAAGACGAGGGAUCCUAGCGUUGUUCGGAAUCAUUGGGCGUAAAGCGGAUGUAGGUGGCUUUGUAAGUCAGGUGUGAAAGCCUGGGGCUCAACCCCAGAAGUGCAUUUGAUACUGCGAAGCUUGAGUGUCGGAGAGGUUACUAGAAUUGUUGGUGUAGUGGUGAAAUACGUAGAUAUCAACAGGAAUACCGGAGGCGAAGGCGGGUAACUGGCCGAACACUGACACUGAGAUCCGAAAGCGUGGGGAUCAAACAGGAUUAGAUACCCUGGUAGUC